rnacentral:tRNA from 1 species
AGAGUGUUAGUAAACUAAUUACACUGCCUUGUCGUGACAACAUAAUGAGCCUCACCCUCAUACACUCUA